rnacentral:ncRNA from 1 species
AACCGCCGUAUACGGAACCGUACGUACGGUGGUGUGAGAGGUCGGCCUGUCAGGGCCUCCUACUCGAU